rnacentral:rRNA from 1 species
GACGAACGCUGGCGGCGUGCUUAACACAUGCAAGUCGAACGGAAAGGCCCUGCUUUUGUGGGGUGCUCGAGUGGCGAACGGGUGAGUAACACGUGAGUAACCUGCCCUUGACUUUGGGAUAACUUCAGGAAACUGGGGCUAAUACCGGAUAGGAGCUCCUGCUGCAUGGUGGGGGUUGGAAAGUUUCGGCGGUUGGGGCUGGACUCGCGGCUUAUCAGCUUGUUGGUGGGGUAGUGGCUUACCAAGGCUUUGACGGGUAGCCGGCCUGAGAGGGUGACCGGCCACAUUGGGACUAAGAUACGGCCCAGUCGCGUACGGGAGGCAGCAGUGGGGAAUAUUGCACAAUGGGCGGGAGCCUGAUGCAGCAACGCCGCGUGCGGGAUGACGGCCUUCGGGUUGUAAACCGCUUUCGCCUGUGACGAAGCGUGAGUGACGGUAAUGGGUAAAGAAGCACCGGCUAACUACGUG